rnacentral:rRNA from 1 species
GUCCAGACUCCUACGGGAGGCAGCAGUGGGGAAUAUUGCACAAUGGGGGAAACCCUGAUGCAGCCAUGCCGCGUGUGUGAAGAAGGCCUUCGGGUUGUAAAGCACUUUCAGCGAGGAGGAAAGGUUGGCGCCUAAUACGUGUCAACUGUGACGUUACUCGCAGAAGAAGCACCGGCUAACUCCGUGCCAGCAGCCGCGGUAAUACGGAGGGUGCAAGCGUUAAUCGGAAUUACUGGGCGUAAAGCGCACGCAGGCGGUUGGAUAAGUUA